GGGGCUCCCCUCGGGUCCCGGCUGCCCUUUCCCCUGCGGACUCUACCCGGGCUGCAGUGUCCCAGCCGAGCUCCGGACACGUGCUGAGGGGCCAGCUGUGGACUUUGGGAAGAUGCAGCUCCAGGAUGACUUGAAAGUAGGGCAUCCUUGGCCCUCCUGAAGAGAGGAAAUUAGUGGCAGAUGGACAGUCUGUAUGGAGUUAUCAGAUGUCUUUACCUGAGUGAGAAACCUUCCUCCACUGGGACCUCAGAUGUCUGACAACCCUUUGUGACACCAAGAUAAGUAAUCCAAUUACAGGGACUUCCCUGGUGGUGCAGUGGUUGGGAGUCCGCCUGCCAAUGCAGGGGACACGGGUUCGAUCCCUGGUCCAGGAGGAUCCCACAUGCCGUGGAGCAACUGGGCCCGUGUGCCACAACUACUGAGCCCACGUGCUGCAACUACUGAAGUCCCGCGCCUAGAGCCUGUGCUCCGCAACAAGAGAAGCCACUGCAAUGAGAAGCCCCUGCUCGCCGCAACUAGAGAAAGCCCGCACGCAGCAACAAAGACCCAACACAGCUAAAAAUAAUGAAUAAAUAAAUAAAUUUUUUUAAAAAAGCCAAUUACAGGGCCCUUACAGAGGGCAGGUAAGGGGGAAAUUGAUACUACUGUUUCAUAAGUGCGGAAAAGGAUUAUUUGUGGCAAUCUUUAAUUCACCACAAGCAUAUAUGUGUGUGUGUGUAUAUAUAUAUAAAUGUUUAUGUUUAUAGGAAAUCCUUAAAAUAUACAAAUGGUUGAUAGUGGUUGCCUUUAUGUAAGGGAGUAGUGGUUGGGGAAAACUCUUUGUUGUGUGCUUUGAAUUUUAUUAUAUGUAUUCCUUAUUCCAAAACUUUUUUUUUAAAUUUAUUCAUUUAUUUUUGCCCUCGCCGCUACAUGGCUUGUGGGAUCUCCCUGACCAGGGAUUGAAUCCAGGACCCCUGCAGUGGAAGUGUGGAGUCCUAACCACUGGACCACCAGGGAAUUCCCCCAAAACCCUUUUUUAAGCCCACUUCCCCUCCCUUGCCACUGCUGAAAAAGAACCACUGGUUAACAGUUUUCUGUUUUUAAAUAGCCUGAAGUAUUGAAAUGGCCUGGUUCCAGGGCAUUAAAUCUAUUUAAAAAGUAGAUGGUGGACUGCCAGGAGAUUCUGAGACCACAGCUUUGCUGAAGGCAAUCCAGUAUAAUGCUUUAAAGCUCUGGGUUUGGAUUUAUUUAGAACUGGAGUUCAAAUCCUGGCUUUGUCACUCUUUAGCUAUAUGACCUUAGGCAGGCUUUCUUAAUCUCUUACAUAAAACAAGAGUAAUGGUACUUUACUCUCAGAAUUAUAAUGCAUUAUCAGCUACUUUGUGGUGUCAAAAUAUAUGUCCUCAAUCAAUAUGACUCUUCUGCUUAAAACUUUUAAAGGUAUUCAUUAUUAGCUCAAAUGUAGACUGUAUCCUGGUGUUUAAAGCCUUAUUCCAAACUUGUCACUUAGACAUUUCAAAGUCUCAGCAGAAAUACUUGCUUCCUAACCUCUUUAUCAUCCCUGGUGUACCACACCCACUGCCAAGAAACCCAAAUGUGAAUAGAGCUCUUGAUCCAUCUCUUCUCAUAGCCAGGCCCACCUUGAGGCCAGACUCCUUGUCCAAUCUUCAUCAGACUGGGAUCCUCAAGAGCUGGUAAUUUGUCUUAUUAUCCAUCAUUAUAUACCCACCCUUGUACACUGUCUUUCAUGAAAUUGGCAUUUGAUGACUGAAAUCUUGUAUCAGUUUGGUUUCCAAUGUGUCUUUUUGCUGUUGACCCACUAAGCAGAUCCUCAAUAAAUAAUUACUCAAUUGAAAAA